ensembl:lncRNA
UCAUUUCACUUGCACCAGUGACUUUUCUGCUUAGCUGGUCUGUUGGGUCUAUCCUGGUGGGACUAUGCAUCUUGGCAAUUACAACCUGCCUUGCAUACAUCGGGAUUCUCUGCAAAUUAAAAGUGACAGUCCCCAAAGCACUGGUGUGUGUUUCAGUGGCUGAGUUUGACUGUGGCACAAGGAUGAAUAAACUGAAAGUUCUCCUUCAGUCAGUGGAGGGCACACAGGAGAAUGAAGAGAAGAGUGGCAGUGAGGAGGAAGAGGACGAGGAUGAGGAGGACAGUAGCACAGAGGGUCAUUGUGCCUACAUGGAGAGAGCAAGAGGUAGCAGAGAUUCCUGCACCACAAACAAAGUGCAGAGCUCUGCUAGUACUGCCAUCUUUACGUGUGAGUCAGCAAAUAGUUCUGAGGGAUGUAGUUUUGAGGAUGUGCAUGUACAGGCAGACGAGACCGCACUCUAUCAGUUUCAGCUCCGUGCAGCCAGAGAUGACAAACAGAUGUCCUUAUCUGAUUCCGUGGGACAAAAGCCAAAGCCACCUAAGGCAAAAGAAUUAGAAAAAGAGCAAAUUAAAGAGGAGGCAGAAAGAGGUGGUUUAAGGAACAUCAACCUGUUUUCAGUGACUCUGAAAUCUAUGCAGUUGGAGGAAGACAUGAGUGAGGCUGCAGAGAUGUGUGAGCCACUGUUACCUCUUUUGUUAAAAGACCAACAAGAAGAUACAUCAUCCCUAUUAAAACCACGGAUGGGAAAGCCUCAGUUAUCAGCACUUCAGACACCAGUCUUGUACCAGAAAGACUCAAAGGUGGAUGGACUGACAGGACAAAAAGAACUAAAGGAUUUUUCAGAGAUGAGGUCAGACUGCUUAGACCAAUUGGAUGAAAAGGUCAGCAUGGAAACAGGAUGCAUGCAGACCGGGAACGAGUGCGCAUCAGAGGAAGACGAGGACUUCUGCUCAGACUACUUGGGACGAUGAAGACUAGUACUCUUUUAUUGUGUGUGUGUUUGGAACAGAUGCUUGUAAAGUACUUGAAUAUGUUGUUCCCCCGGCUGUCAUAUUUAAGUAUGUUUAAGAGACAUUUCUGUUUGAUGAGGGACAUAAUAGCAAUUUAUAUGAUGAUUUAUUAGUUGUUGUUUUUUUAUUUUAUUUUUUUAAAUCAUUUUGUCAAAACUCAACACACAAAGGCCAUGCACACAACAUGUAAAUGUCUCAAACUUCUUGACAAGCAUUUCAUCCAAAAUUAUGUCUUGUCAAAAUGUAACUAAUUUUUUUCUCUGCACAUAAAUAUCACAUAGCUCUUUCUGCAUGCCAACUACACACUUAUAUGAUGGGAAAACACCAGUAGAUUGUGUUUGUUGGAUUUUCAGGGCACAGGAGCAGCCAUCAUCAGACUCAGAAAUACAUGCAUUUUCACAAAUAUACAGGCGAUGUAUGCAUAUCCAGUGUAUAUAUAUAUAUAUCUAUAUACCAUAAAAUAAAACACAAUCACAAGGGUCAUGUGAGGAGUGGAGAGUAUAGAGGCAGGUGAAGUACCAAAAAUCAUAGGUGUUCAGUGAACCAGUUGUGCACAGAGCAGUCUGGGGGAAACAUGAGUUGUCCCAGUUGACAAACCUGGUCUGGUCCAGUCCCCUGGUGAUUGGGAAUAAGUAUGUUGUGUAGUGUGUUGUAGGUGAUGAUGCAGGCAGUGCCAUAGGGCCCAAGAGUAGCGUGAUGAUGAACACCAUUAUUCUGAAUAAUGGCUGCACACACUGAUGUUGGCGCCACGCUGCCCAGGGACACUGACGAUGGCAUAGUGUCCUAUGAUGUUCCAUGCCACGCGCCCUGUUUUGGCAAAGUUAAAGCCAGCUUCAUCAAUGUAAAGAACUCAUGUUCCACUGCAGUAACAUCUAGCUUCAUCAAUCUCUGAAACCUCAAGACUCUAUCGUAUUCUGCUGUACUGUACACCAAGGGGCAUGUCAACAUGUUAACGACUAAACAUCUAAAUAGUUUUUAUGUUAGCUGUGUAUAUAGUGUGUAAUGUACAAUCAGUAUUUUUGAGUUAACCGUGUGUUAAUAUUAGGUUAGCAGUAAUGCUUACCUGUAAUGUUGGUACCUAGCUAAUUUAGCACACUUGAAAAUUGUACAAACGUAGCUAAAGUUAGUUUUUAAUGUUUGGUGGUGUUGUCAGCUUUAUGGGGAUGUCUCAGGUCAUUUCUAAUUAAAAGUCAAGACAAAGAUAGACUCAAGCAGGUCACUAAAGGCAUUAAUUACAACACGUUCAGUGGAAUAUAGCCAAAUGCCCAUUUAGAUAUGUGUGUGCUUGCAUGUAUUAUAACUUAUUCUGUAUUCAGUUUUCUCUUCAGUAGGUUCUCCUGUCCUCCCUCCUAUAAUUCCUAUGGUAUGCAUGCCACUCUCACUCCGACCUUGUUUGUGAACAGGAAAGACUUUUACUCUGUUGAUAAAGUAUGAACUAGGCAGAUCGACGUUUGACUCUUAAGGCACUAAUUCUGAUUGAUUAUUUAUUUCUCAAUUUAAUUUGUCUUAUGACUGAGAUGAUCAAAGUCUGAUUAUAACUCAAAUCUUGACUCUGCAUCUGAUGCAAAAGCCAGCAAUUGCAAGGGAUCUGUCCAUUGCUAUGCUAUGGCUAGACAGAAAUGGGAUGCUGUUCCAUGAGCAAGUGACAGAGCUGAGAAGUUUGCCUAUGAUUGAGGAGGGUCACCAGAAAGCCCUCAGUGAGGUCUUGCAGGGAGAUGACUGAGAAGCCAAAGAGCCCUUCCUGUUUAUUUUUGAACACAGAGAGGAUACGGAGCUGUUUUUGGCAGGCUUGUCUUGAUGAGCAGAAGCUCCAGGUCAACACCAUGUUCACUUUUACAUACCUCCCUUCUCCCCAUAGUGUCUUAGGCACAGACACUAGGCUUCAGUGUCCCCUACCACACACUGCCUGAGCUUUUGUUUCAAAUUGUCCUCUAUAUGUUGAUAAACAAUUGAAGAAAUAAUAAUCUACACAAUUUAUUUGCUUUUUUACUCAAGGAUUUGUUGUUUCCAUGUGAUCUUGAGUAGACAUUGUGUUGGUGAGGUCAAUAUAUGAAUAUUAUGGGAAAUAUUGAGGGUGAUCAUUUGAAUACUUUGGGUCCACUUGAAACUUAUUGAGAGUGGAAAAAUAUUUAAAUAUAUAAAAUAGUGGUCACAUCCUGUCAAGUGACAUGACUGUAAAGCUGGGUCUGAGGAACACUGGGAGUUGUAUGUGAAGAUUUUUUUUAGGCUGACAAUCUUUACUUUACAUUGUGCACUUAAUUUGUGCAUGUUUUGUCCUAAUGAAUGCAUACUUUACAGUAUGGAAAUAUUAAAUAUUAAGUUUUAUAUUUAUACUUUAUGUUGAGUAGAGUUAGGGUAUUUCUAUUACUUGUAAAAAGUGUUGACUUUGAGCAUUAAACAUUCAACAAUUUAUCUGAAAUGAUUAUGGAGAAAAAUCUAAUCAUGAAGCACUAUUCCAUCCAUAACUUACCAUGCACAAUCCAGGUAAGAAUGAAGGGAGCUUUUCCAAGUCUUUUCCUAAACCACUGAUUUCCAUUUCUGGUCCUGGAAUACAUCAUGUGCUGCACAUUUGAGUCUUUUUCCCUGUUCUAUCAUACCUGUUCCAACAGAUUUGUGGAAACUAAAAUGUGUAGGGCUGGGAGUGUCACAGGAGCAGGGUUGCUCUUACAUGUUUU